GACGAACGCUGGCGGCGUGCUUAACACAUGCAAGUCGAACGGAAAGGCCCUGCUUUUGUGGGGUGCUCGAGUGGCGAACGGGUGAGUAACACGUGAGUAACCUGCCCUUGACUUUGGGAUAACUUCAGGAAACUGGGGCUAAUACCGGAUAGGAGCUCCUGCUGCAUGGUGGGGGUUGGAAAGUUUCGGCGGUUGGGGAUGGACUCGCGGCUUAUCAGCUUGUUGGUGGGGUAGUGGCUUACCAAGGCUUUGACGGGUAGCCGGCCUGAGAGGGUGACCGGCCACAUUGGGACUGAGAUACGGCCCAGACUCCUACGGGAGGCAACAGUGGGGAAUAUUGCACAAUGGGCGGAAGCCUGAUGCAGCAACGCCGCGUGCGGGAUGACGGCCUUCGGGUUGUAAACCGCUUUCGCCUGUGACGAAGCGUGAGGGACGGUAAUGGGUAAAGAAGCACCGGCGAACUACGU
rnacentral:rRNA from 1 species